CCUACGGGGGGCAGCAGUGGGGAAUAUUGCGCAAUGGGCGAAAGCCUGACGCAGCGACGCCGCGUGAGGGAUGAAGGUCUUCGGAUCGUAAACCUCUGUCAGCAGGGAAGAACGGUUACUGUGCUAAUCAGCAGCGAAUUGACGGUACCUGCUAAGGAAGCACCGGCUAACUCAGUGCCAGCAGCCGCGGUAAUACGGAGGGUGCGAGCGUUAAUCGGAAUUACUGGGCGUAAAGCGCUCGUAGGCGGUAUGUCAAGUCAAGGGUGAAAUCCCCGCGCUCAACGUGGGAACUGCCGUGGAAACUAGCAAACUGGAGUGUGUGAGAGGAUAGUGGAAUUCCAGGUGUAGGAGUGAAAUCCGUAGAUAUCUGGAGGAACAUCAGAGGCGAAGGCGACUAACUGGGACAUGACUGACGCUGAGGGGCGAAAGCGUGGGUAGCAAACAGGAUUAGAUACCCGAGUAGUC
rnacentral:rRNA from 1 species